CUACUGUUACUAGCUCUAAAACAGCUAUUCCUUGCCUUUAGUCUGCCUCUCUUGUCUUUGAUUCUAUCUUUGACUUUUCUUAGUAAAUGCAGUAUUAAGUGUUCCUAUAUUCAUUAUUCUUUUCACUUAGAUUAAUAAUGUGUUUCAACAUUCUCUUAUAAUAAUCCAAUAAUGACAUUCACUUAACUAUACCUUGAAUCUUGGCAUCCCGACCCCUCGACCAGUUGCGUAUCUCUCAGAACAUGGGAUGAUACUGCUCUGAAUGAGAGAUACUACCCGAUGAACCCGAUCUUCUAACUACUUACUUAGAGGCUGACUAUCCGUGUUUUCAUGCAGUAACUCCGGAUUCAGAUCUGUGUUUCCAAACUUCAACCUGUGCAGUUAACCUUUGAGCCUGCCAUGCCUUACUUUUACAACCAAUUAUGAGUUGGAUGGAGUAUACCUCCCCUCUUCAGCUACUACCAGUCAGAAUCAAAUCAUUGCUAAUAAGACUGGAGUGACUUUUUCUCAUACUUUAGCUCGAAACUAGGGAGUCAAACAAUGAAUCUAAGAAAGCCCACCCGAAAGAAAGAAUGCAAAUAAUAAGCCUUCAUAUUAGCUAGGCCCCGAUACUUGAUGUUUUCAUUCUCUAAGUAAGUAUUGAUCCUUUUCCCGAUGAGGAGUCCCAAACGACUCUAUAGGCGUCCACUCUAGCUCGAAACUAAGUGGAGUACCAGCUUAAGGCUUAGAAGACUAAGUGCUAUUCCGAUACUUAGCGGGUCUACUCUGCUAUCACUUCCGUUAAUUCUAUCCUACCCUAGCGGGGUCCCCUAAAGAAGCGAGGUGUGAUCCCUAGAUUCGGUCCCCCCAGGAAGGAGUUCAGACUCAAAAGCAAGGCAAUAAGGAUGAAGACACUAAGUAAGGCGGGGAAAGCGCCUAAGGAGGGAGAGGUCAAACACUCAAAAAAGAGCGUAGGAAUGAGGGACAGUAGUGAAAGAACUUAAGUAGGGCAGGGCAGACUUUCAACAAGGUGGGCAGGCCUAUUGUUAGUAGUCUCCUUCCCUUCUCCCCUCUGUAAGUCUUAGAAGAGGCAGAAGCUGCUUCAGUCCCGGUAGCUCGAUUUCUAGUUUCGAGUGCGAUUCCUACUAGUGCUUGCUCGAUUCUUGUGACCAGUCACUUAAGUCUGGUAUUGCUAUAGAAUGUACUUAGAGACAGGGCUGUAAGGCUUAGGGAGAGUAAUUGCAGGCUUAAGGGUUAACUACGGAAUGAUGCUAACUAGUAGAAGUAUUCUAGUUACGUGUGACCGUUUGAACUACCUAUCUAAUAAAUGAAAACGAACAAGCAAGAAUAUCAGUAAACAGUAUACCGAAAGUAGGACUAAAACAUAGGCAUUGCAGGGACAACUAUAGGCAUUGCAGGGACAACUACAAGAGUGAAAUAGUAGAUUAGGCCUCCGUAUCAUCAAACUCAGAUAUAAGGCGUGGUCUUCCGCUGGGUUCCAUUUCUGAAUUGCUUUAUCUCAUUCUAUAGCUAAGGAUCUAUAACCUUGCUUUGUAGCUUCCAACCACCUCUCUUAGCUUUUCUUCUUUAGCUGCGUCCUGUGUUCGGCAGCGAAAGCUUCAAGUGUGUUGGAAUAACUUGAGGAAAAGCCGAUCUGUGAUAAAAGAAAGAGAAUGGCUAGAUAAGGAAAGAAAUAGAGCUAAGCCAAUGAGCUAACCGAGUGGAGUAAACUAUACUGGCUUACUACGGGCUACGGAUACUCAGUACUCCUACCCGGCUAUAAGACAUAGAGAUAUUUGACUUUUCCUUUUCCAAUAAAGCAUACUUGGGUAAAGCUGUGUCCUUUCUUCGGCCUCAGUCAUAAGUGUUCUACAAUUGACAUUUUUGGAUUGUUCAUCCUUAUGAUAGAAUCAGAUAAUGCGCGUGCAGAUUAGGCGUCGGAACUGUUAUCAACUAAAAUGAGACUCUCCAGCAUUUGUUUAGGCCUCGUAUUCUUUAUAUUCUGGAUCUUUAUACCUUCGUACUAGAAAUCUUUGGUAUUGAGCCCGACUCGUUGGAUGUAAACGUCUAUUUUGAGGAAUAUGCCCAAGCCCCAUAAAGAAAAGAGUUAUUUCUCUAAUCAAACAGGACGGACUUUCAAGCUAAAGCAGCUGAUCUACGACCACGCUUACUCCUAGUAUAUUCCAGUCCUCCGUUUUUCUUAUUGACCCUAUUUAUAUACAAGUUAACUGCCAAAUGGGGUGCUAAGGCUAUUUCUAUUGCUUUCCAUUCUUUAUUCAAAAACAAAAGAACUCUUUCACCGUACUGGUUCUUCUUCGACACUAGGAAUUUUCAUAGAUAGGGAUGGACUCAAUCCUGGGAACAUCAAGGAACAUCAAACGCAAAGAAAACUGGGGUUUUCAUUAAGAACUUGAUCAUCAUCUAGGGUUAAUCAAUUGCCUUAGACAAGUUAGACCCUGAGAUUGGAUCGUUCCCUAAAUGCAGUAGCUCAGGUUUUCCGGUGCGAGUGGAAACUCUCGAGAAAUCUAGUAUGACAGGUUUAGCAUUUUGUGCUUUCAAGUGGAGUUCUUUGAACCGAGUCCACAACGUUGGUUUCAAUCGAAUCUUUGAUCUAUAUUCAUGUGCAAAACGAAGCAAAGAAAGGGGUCUAUAAGCCGAUGAGUUUACCUCAAUGGACCUAGCCCGAGAACAAGCUUAGUAGCUAUCCUUUGCCUUUCCUUUCCACUUGCCUGAUGAUGUCUUUCCCAACUUCAUUCAAAAGAGAAGUAUGCUUAUGCGGAAAGAGCGACUGCUUUCAUGUAUAAAUAGGGAGUGUUAGGGCUACGGGGGGUCUAAUCUAUACUGAGGCUAAACCCGAAGACCGAAAUGCUACAAAGAAAGAAGAAAAGUCAAGCUAUACAGUCCUGGCGGCAGUCCUUCUUUUUCACUCGAGCUAGUGAUUACUUCUUCUGGUUAAGAGCAAUGAGUGAAUGGAGGGUAAAGUGAAUCAAUAAAGGUUUUCGUUUCUACAAGACCGCAUAUCGCUUACCCGUCUUUGCCUAUAGCGUACAAAGAACUAACCUUACUUAUAGGGGAGCUUACUAGACUAACACUCACUCCACUUUACAAAGAAGAAAGGAAAGGUUUGGAAUGCACGGCCAAGCCACCACUCAAAACUCGAACUGGCCAACUUAUAUACUCCACCAUUCAUAAGCGGACUAUCAAACAGCUUCCUCAGGGGCAUCAGAAGAAACAGAAGAGUCAUGUAUUUAAUGAAAACUCCUUUCAAGCACUCUGGACUCCUGUACUAAUAUAUGCUAGUCUGUCUGCGAGUAGUGAGUCGUUUCCAGUGGGGGCACUAAACGGAUUGUUAGGCUGUCGCUCCUAUAGGGUAAGCCGGGUUAACUCGCUUGUUAUCAGAGAAAAAAGAUCGUCUGCGCUUACGGGAGUUAUAAGCAGAAAGUAGAGUUGGUGCGCUUAAGCAAGACUCAGUGCUAGGGUGAGUUACAAAAGAUGAAGAGAUAGAGAAACUAGGAAUAUAAUUACAGUGUCAACAUGGAACAAGGGAUUCUAUUAUUAUGGAAUUCCCCCACUUAUUUCUUGCGCUUAUUAAUACUUCAGAUAUAGGGUGCACGCCUUAAUUCUUGUGUAUCUGUGUUAUUGGCGUUAGUUAUUGGCGCUAGUGUCUUUCUCUAAUCACUUCCAUUAGUGGUAUUGUACUAGUGGUAUUGUACAAUACUUAAGCAAUAGGAACUGUUAUAGAAUCAUUUAUAUCCCGGAACCGGCAAUAGGAACUGUUAUAGAAUCAUUUAUAUCCCGGAACCGGCAAUAGGAACUGUUAUAGAAUCAUUUAUAUCCCGGAACCGGCAAUAGGCACUGAGUUAUAGCUGAACCAGCAAUAGGCACACACUGUUAUAGAAUCAUUACUGUCCUUUACUUAAGCAAUAGGCACUGACAGAGUGAUAGCCGCAAUAAGCAAAGUUAUAGAAUCCAUGAAUCCUGUCCUUUACUUAAGCAAUAGGGACCUAAAUAGAAGUGAGAAACACUUGGAAUAUGAACACAUCAUAUUAUAUAAGUCAAGAAAGUAUAGUAAUGGAACUCCUGAAGAUAGAAGUCAGAUUGGAAUAGUAGUGCACAUCUUCUAAGUAGUCAGAAACUAGUAGUGCACAUCCUCCAUAACAUAAGAAGACAUAGUCGAAACUAGUAGUGCACAUCCUCCAUAAGAAGAAUUGUAAGAACAUAACCCUCCUGUCCUGACUAAAUGGCAAAUAACAACCUUCUCCUUCCGUCAUAAAUAGAAAAAGAACAACCUUCUCCUUCCGUCCCAACUCAAACUAGCAACUUAAGGAAUACGAAUGGAGUUAUUGGCUUUCCCUUUGUUGUCGUAAAGAUAUGUUAUUGGCUUGACCGAACAAAACAAGCAAAUAGGGAGUUAAGGAGUAGGCCUAUGACUCCGGGAGGGUGCGCGAGGCGACUCUUUCUUAACGGAAGGUGUGCAGUGCUCGAUAUCGCCCUGUAGUGCUCCUUGAGAUAGUAGCAAGGCUUUCAGCUCCUUGUUCUCGUUGGCUUACCUUUCAUAGUGGAACGGUUUGCUUCCGUGAAGAAUAUCUAGUAUAAGAACAGUUCUCGUUGGCUUACCUUUCAUAUAUCUGGUAGCUCUGGGUCAGUUAAUCGGUUAAGGCGCAAGUCAGUUGCAAGCCGAAUGCUAUACCUUUCAUCGAAGAAAUCAAGUCAAAACACAGAACAAGCAACGGGAGCUCGCUCGCAAGAACAAACAACCAGCUAACGGGAGUUUACCAGAACAAACGCAGUGAGAAUUGGCAGUUGGAGGCACAAGGCAGAAUAUAUUAAGCAAUUUAGUAAGCAGAACACGCAACUAGGGCAAUAAGAUUCAUUUACUAUCGUCUAGGGUUUGCAAAGAAAGCAAUUAUGUAUUAGGCUUACUUAUCUAUAGAUUAUUAUAGAUAUAUCAGCAAUGGAGUAUCACUCGUAAUGGAAUAAGCAACGUUUGUGCUAACGUAUGCGAAACGAACAGGUGUAGUUAGUUAGUUUGUCGGCGCUAACGCUUACUUCUGACUUUCCGGCUCACUAUAGCUGACUUUCCUGGGUGCCAACAUAAAUCAAUUCUUCUAGGGGCAGAAGCUAACAAGUAAUGGAAUUGAAAGUACUACACAGUAUUUGCUAAGUACACAGUAUUUGCUAAGGCCCACGGAGCACUAAGUCAAUCAGAAUCAUAAGAAUAAGAUGCCUCAGCUGUUUCAAGAGAAUGCAGCAUCAACUGGAUAGGAAUCAGGGAAGGCGAUCCCUAAACAUAGGCUUACCAGCUUUGUUUUCACAGUCUGCUUGAAGAACAUUCGUUCGAUCUUCCUCUCACUUCCCUUAGAGUUGGCAGCUUUGAACUGGUCCAUGCUCGUGGUGAGCAAUGGUCCCAAGGUGCUCUAUUGCCCUCUUAUAUACGGUUCGCGCGAUCACCUUCAAUUUGAUAAGCGGAAGAGGGGUAGUGAGACCUUUUUUAGAGGUUCAUAGGCCCUCGGUUACCUACCGUCGAGGAGCUAGAUAUACAACCUAUCGUAGGUCAUAGUCUGGAGUUGGGGGCUAUGAGGCAUAUUUUCGCCAUGGGCAACUAUAUCAAUCAGAGGCGACUCUCACCAAUCAAUGAUUGGCUCAUUAGGGUUCGGAUACCUACAGAUGUUCCACCAAGAUCGUCCUCUUGAUCGGUUAGUGGGCGAAGAGUUCUAGCUCCUACUUUAAGUCGUCAACGGACCGAUGGCCAUUGUUGCUUCUCUUCGAGGCUAGGCAGUACAUAAUUCUAUUACAGGCGGUCGUUCGCGUCAAGUGUUGUUAAUUCGGCACUUGCUUAUAACAUAUUUUAGGUUCCCUGGGUGAAAUCCGCUAGGUCUAAGGUCUGUUUUACUUUACGGUUGGACAACCUCUCGGCUAUCUAUCCUCUUUCCCUCUGUUUUUUGCCUUAUCAUGUUUUGGUUUGGUACUGUGCAGAACAAGUGUACCCAGGCCGAUGCUUUGAACAGGUACGGAGUCAAGGGUUUAAUCAGGUAAAGAAUUAGGGGUGGAUAUAUCUUCUCAAUAAUAUCGAAUUUCCCGGCAGUGCGGAAUUUUCCAAUUUCGGGUUCAAUCGCUGGAAAAAGAUCUGUCUCCGAUCUCUAUCCGCUCUUUGCUUAACUCGCAUCACCCUUUUGGACUAAUGGCAGUACAUCCAAAACAUCCUGUUGUUUCUGUCGGGUUACAACUCUUUCACGGGAGGGCAGUUUACAAGGCUUUGACUGGAUUCUCUCAGUCUAGGCCUGCACACAACGAGUGCAUCCUGGUUACCAAGUCGAAGUUGCCUUUCUCCUUUUGGGGGGUUAGCGAGAGGGCUACCGUUGAACCCAUAUCUCUCAGGCUUUAUUAUUGAUUGAUUACUUAGGGAAGGAAUCCAAGGAUGACUUAGGGAAGGAAUCCAAGCUUUUAUUGAUCCAGCCUUUUAUUCGCUUCGGAUGUACCCUGAGGAUCUAUUCCAAUUAGUAGUUUCUUGGCUUGAGUAAGAAAGUCACAAACAAGUCAAAGGAUAGGAGGGGCUAAACAAUUGGAUUGAUUGAUAUAAUUGGAGUUGUCUCUGCGGUGUUUGGAAAGGGUUAUUCUCUAUAAUGGGUGCGGGGGCGUCUAUGAGCGGUGCUCCUUCAUCCCCUGAUCCGGUCUUUAAGCGUGCAGCGAAACCUCUAUAUUUCGGCGACGCAACAAACUUUCUUCCUUCACUAGGGGAACUUAGCAAAGCGUUUCCUGGGCACAGGUGAUUGCCGGAAAGGCCAUUCAACACCUUUCGGAUGGUAUGUUUUUGUCCACUUCUCCACAAUAAAUAGAAUACAGAGAGCGUCUUAAGAUGUUUUACAUAAAAUAGGAAGAUUCAUUGGCGGAAUGGCGACGGUCAUGGACCUUAUUACUUGUGGGUAGAUUUCUUAGAGUAGCCCCCACCUCUUGAUGUAAUCUGGACAUCCAUCGAUUAAGACCCUAUGGCAACUACCCAACCCCACUCCAUUGUGGUAGACAUGGCAAGAGUUCGGUUUCUUUCUUUCUUUCUCUUCCGAUUUGCUUCAGAAGAAGAGGCAGUCUAUAUCUUAACAGAUUUCCCCCAUCGUCGAUAAGAAGAUAAAGACAACAUUUUGUCCUGGCCUCAUUUUCCACCAAUGAUUUCCAAAUGGAAUUCUGCUGAGUACAAGUUCCUCGGUUUUGAAUAUUGGAACCACAUUGCUUCUAUACUUGACUUGGUAAACCUCUCAGUAUGGACAACAGCUCGAUUACCUUUGAGCCGGUUUGUCCUAAUUUGUAUCGAAAUUGAUCCUUCGAAACUGCUAAAGCGGAUCGGGAAACCAAUGUCAGGAAUUUCCCAAGUGUUUCUUUUGACUAUCUAUGAGAAACUCCCGGCAGUAUGCUUCAAGUGUGGGUUGGGUGCAUUGGUAAUAAACUAACGGAUUGCCCUGAUAGGAACCCGACGAGAAUAUCUUGUCUACAAUAAGUAAGGAUUCCUAUGCCGACGCCUGGUGAGAAACCUUUUUCCAAUAGAGUUUGGGAAGGCUGAUGCGAAUUCAAGCACUUAUACCUAGUUUGAAUCUAGAGAACAUCCGGAUGAUGAAGACUUGGAGGGAGUCUGCACUACCAAAUGAUCUUAGAGUAACCAAAGCUAUUGGUAACAUAAGGUUCAAAGCUAUGGCAUCUACGGACGCGCCGGGCUCGAAAGCUGUCCAAUCGAAAAACAAAGCUGUGGAAUCAUCCCUAGCUGAAGCCUAAAAUGAGGUUCGGGAGUCUUUCCUAACCCUACUAGGCAUCUUCUUUCCUCUGAAUGAAUUUGAUUAGUUGGAAUUGCAGAGGACCUACGAAGGCAGAUUGUCAGAGAUAGAAUUCUGAUAAUAUCCCAAAACGAUUGAAAUCAUCUCUUGUUUGGUUGCAGGAGACUUACUUGUCGGAGGAACAAGCCAGCAACACUAUCAAAUGCAUGGGUCGGCACUGGAAAUGUUCUGCUCAAUCCGCUUCUGGAUCAGUAGGGGGAAUUGGUCUUGGUUGGUGGGACUCCACUAAACGCUCAGGUGAUUUCGUUCCAUACAUGCAUGGUCAUUUCGUUCCAUACAUCUAAUGGUAUUAAGACCCAUCUUUUCAUUAUUCAUAACCAUGGCUUCCUUCAAUAGCUUAUCUAAUACUUGUUGCUAUUAUCUUCUUUCUCUAAUACUUGUGCUAUGAUUUUUCUGAUCUAAAGGAAAGGGGAUUCUUAUGGGCUUAUACUUAUUUUAUUGAUGCUCCUUGGUGUGGGCGAUUUCCAUUGUGUUCUAAAUCCGGAAGAGAAACGAGGCGCCUUUUACGGCUAACCAUUCUGUUAACACUGGAAGUUCCUUAUUUGGUUAUUUUACUUGCUGCCGGGUUACAUGAUCUCGGUUUGAAUAGUUAACCAUAUAUAAGAGCUUAUGUUAUGUUAUUUGAUAGGUGAUAAUAAGAAUAGAGAAGUAAUGCUACUCGUCUUAACUGCUAAUGCUUAGUUGGUAAAAUGUGUUUGGGUUUUCUACGGUUUUGCACCCACCUCGUCUUUCUUUGUUCUGAUCAUUGUCCACUCUCUCUUGCUAUUCGCGGAUCUCAAAAACCAAUAAUUAGUAAACCUUAUUCUAUUUCUUAGUUGGAGGACGGAAUAUGAAUCUGUUUUCAAUGGAAUUAUAUGGUUGAUAUUGGAGCACAGAUCAAAACCGCUUUCAGCAUGAUUUUGUCUUCCAAUCAUAAAGGCCUGAGAUAUGUCUUAUCCAACUAGAGAACUGUCUUGGUCCCCUUUGGAGGACAUCUAUUCUAACCUCCUAUAAGUCCAAAUUAAUAUAUUCGAAAAAGAAGGAGGCCACUACGGGUUUGUCUGAUCAGGAGGAUAAAUAGCUCUUGAGUCUUCAUAACCAUUGGAUUGCUAUUACUAGACAGAUUCAUAUUUUCAUUAAUCGUGGGUGAAGGCCAAAAGGUGAAAUGGAUUAAUGAUAGAGAUAGAAAUACAGCAGCAGAUAGUAUUCAUAAAGCUUUUUCUGUGAUUUCUUUGACUUUAUUUGAUUAUUGGCCAGCAAGCAAUACUCAGACUUCAAGGACAGGACAGGGGAUACUCAGAAACAGAUGGAUCCUUCCCCUUUCGAGAAGAAGCUCGCUCGUCUAUUUGCUCUUUAGGUUUAGGGAAGAGAGAGCCCACGCUUCAUACCAGACUUGAGACUCUACUCGGGAAAGGACAGAUAGAGGCAUAGGCUCCUCUCAUAACUCUAAUAAAGGACAGAUAGAGGGAUUUCCACUUUAGACUCUUCUGGACUCCUAGAAUUCAAGAUCACUUUCUCCUUGGGAGAGCACUCCUAGAAUUCAAGAUAGCUUUAGACUCUGGACUCCUAGAAUUCAAGAUCACUUUCUCCUAUCUCCGAAAAGUGCCAAUUGCUAACUUUCUAUUUUAUUGGAAUUGGAGAAUCCACUAUCCAAAAAGAAAGAAGAUGAGUUCUCUUCAACUCUAAAUAGGGUCUCUGGUCUAGACAGGCGGUGGAAACAGCCAAGCGGAGUUUCUUCUUACAGUGAAUAGUCCAUUCUUUCCUGCCUUUCACAAUAGAUGUCCAAUGCCUUAUUAAUACUUAUAUACUCUUAUCAGUUCUUUCCUACCUUUCAUUCAAUAGAUGCCCAAUGAUCAUAUUCCUUAUUAAUACAUUUUGUAUACUUAUAUGUGUUUGCUUUAUACACUAAAUAGUUGGGUCAUUCAAUAAAAGAGUCUAAUGGAAAAUGGUAAUGAAUCUAAUAUGUGUGGUGGUUUUUCAAGAAUACACAGUAAUCCCAGCAGUGUUAGAGACGUUGAGAUCAGAACAAAACGAUUGGAUUCUCUUGAGCCUAUAUCGGCCGGCCGGGCAACCCCAUAUUCCUAAAAAGACUCCCGACCAAAAGAUGAACCAUUCUUUUGAGAGUUGAGUCCAUACUGCCCUUUCUCUUUUUCGUUGGAGCCAACUUUAGUGGAGAGUUUAGUCGCAUGUCCGCUCCUCUUUUCUUUCCGCAAUGGAAUCGGGCUCGACCCCUUUCUUUCCUAUCAUAGGGAAAAUUCCCAUUUCUUCAUAAUGUAAUGUCAUAUAUAUAGAUUAUGAUUAUUACUGAAUUUCUUAUGGUCUUAGGUUCAUAGUUUGUGGUAACUUCAAGAUAGAUAGAAGAGUGGCCUUACCUUACUUUAUCAAGUCAAAAACCGCCUUAUUCUCGAUGUUGGUUUUGUUUCAGUUACCAACCCAUAUCAUAUGAAUUUACCGAGCCCUUUAUCCCGUUAACGCAAAUCAAUCCUAUGAUUCUGGUCUCGUCCUUUCGGGAGAGGGGAUUUUCAGGUAACCGAGGCUCUUAGCACCCGAACACAGUUUAAACGCCUGCCGCACAACUGACGUAGUUGUUUGCCUCAUAGCAAAUAUAUACUUUCUUUACUUAUAGCUCCCUUGCCCACCUCGCCAUUACUAGACUCUUUCUGCCCUGGCCUACCCUGCUGUAAACAAAUCAAGUUAUGGCUCUCAUCGACUAAACCUCUGUUCGUCUCCGUAGUCAACUAAUUCUGAUUUCUUACCCCGACCCGACCUCCACUCUAGUAUUGGUACCCGACCUCUACUGUUACGGAUUAUAAUAAGGGGUUCCAUUCAGAAUAUGAUACUAACCUAACCGGUCUUCUUCUCUGAUAACAAUUAUACUAUCUAUAUAACUAUUUGGUCUUAACUCCGAGUCCACCGAGUCCAAGCACUAGGCGAACAGAGGGAGCUGAUCUUAUAGAUGAAACUGGAACAGUCAAGCCCCAAAGCUAAUAACUGGGCCGCAACUACUUAUGCCUAUUCUUAGAAUGCGCUAGAUCCAUCCUACUGACUUGUCUAAUUCUUAUAUACCAUAUAUAAUACUUACUUGAUUCAAUGAAUGGAUGAAACAGCCCCUCUGGCUACAAAUAAAGAUGAAACAGCCCCUCUGGCAGCUCGGGAUUAAACUCGGGAUUCAACAACUCCGGAUAGAUAGCUGGUAACCAACCCUGUACGUGCUCUCAAGCAGGAAAGUGAGAAUUAGACUCUACAGUAAGACAUAAGCAGGUAAGCUCUAGCGCUCUGUGUUCAAUUGACAUAGGAUUCCAUCUCUCCAACCUAGGUGCAUAAGGAUAUCGAAUAGUUAUAGGGACCAAGUGCUCUUAAAUGAAAGUUGGAAUUGCACUCGAAAGUCGGUAAGAGACGAGCAACGUAGCCGCAACUAAGUAAGCCUGUAUUUCGGAACUCCACUUUCUACUUUACCUAGAACUCAUUCAUCUACUGAUCUUGCUUAUGCGGAUUCCACUGGAACUCACGAUGCAACUGGGGAUGAAACAGGAGGGGGGGUAAUUCAUAAGCUGACUUUAGAACUGAUCCUUGAGAAACAAGAAGAGAAUAAAGUACUGGCCGGUUAAGAGCAGGUGCAAUCGGUUAUGUUUGAGUGAAGUCUACAAUAGCGGGGGAGCUAGAUCAGAUACAUCAUAAAGUCAAGGUGAGGAAGCUAGGCUCAGUAUAGUAUCCUUCAGUCCCAGUGUUGUCUAUCCAACCCAGUACCGAGGAAUACCUGUCUUCAGGAGUUGUGUUUAGUCUAUUACUUAUACUUAGGAGUUGUGUUAAGACUUAAUAGCUCGAUCCGAAUGAAGGUAGUAAAGAUGAACUCGUAUCUCCUAGGCUUAUUCUAUUAGGACUCCACCUUGUAUACUCUUAUUCUUCGUCUUAAAAGUAGCAAAUGUAUAAAAGUAGCAAAUGUAUAUCAAAAUGCACCUUUAUCCAAGACUGCUAGCAAAGUCAACCGCUUGUUCAGUUGAAAGAGGAUCCGCUGUUCUAGAAUCAGUAGUGAAAGUUGAAGUUGUUGGCUUGAGGUCGUGUAGAGAGGCUUCCCAGGUAUAGGUCCAGUCCAAGCAUAAAAGUAAAGCUUGAACGGGGAAGAAAAGUAGAUAGGUAUUUGCUUGCCAUAAAACAUAAUAAGUGCUCUGCUAUAGUUCAUUUUAAACCAAUAUAUUUAGGGCAUUAAUUAAGGGCGCAGGACAAAGAAAGAUCUUCCGAACACAAAGCAAAGAAUUCAAACAAGUAAGUAUCUGCUUGUGGGUUAAACACAAGUAUAGGUCGGGGCAGAACUCCUAACUCCGGUAUUUCAUUUCACUCCUAACUCCGUAGUAACCGGCUGAUUCUUCUUAUCUUGCUUUAUGGUUCAAAUCCAGCUUCUAAUCCGAAUAUAUUUGUUUGUUACGCUCAAUUCUUUUCUUUGUACCACACCUCGGUGUUAGAACCGUAUUCUUCUUAGUUGUAGUCACAUUCUUUGUGACAGUACUCUGCAACUUACUAUAAGGGUUGGAAUUCAACGAGCAUUGGCAACGAGAUCAGGAUAAUAAGAAGAUAAGAGACUCUAUCUUUACUUAUUUCUAUAUAUAGUGAAAAAGACACGAAAGAUUCCCGACGAAGAAAGGAUUUGACUUCACGCUGCGAUUGAGGGUUACAUUGCCUCUUACCUAGCUUGUUCUUACUUAUUUAAGUCACUAGCCCCAAUAGCAAUAGCAUCCAUCUCGCAACUUACACAAUAUUAUGGUGUAACUCCAUACUUGAAACAAGAAUCACGGUGGUAAUCUCACUCCAUACUUGAAAAAAGAAUCACAUAUAUAAUAGGCGCAGGCGCACCCGUCAAGUAAGCGUUAGCACAAACUCUGUUACUGCGGACUUCGUUAGCACAAACUCAGGUAUUCCUUGAGAGGUAGCCGUGGAAAAAGCAAUGAAUGAUGAGUUGACUCCUGUUGACGAGUUGACUAAACACUUUCCUACUUAUGGUUAAUGCUCGUGAAUAAUUGGAGAAGAAAUGGCCAAGACACUGGUCACCCAGCAAGCAGUAAGUGUUUUCGAAGCCCCUACUUAGUAAGGGUGGCAGCAGACUUCAAUCCUAUUUCUGCACUCAUGAACUUCCCUCUCUCCACCAGUUCUUGCCUUAAGCUAGUGUCCAUCAUCUGUUCUUGUUUCAUCCUAGUUAAUUGGUGACGAGUCUUUUUCUUCGACAUUAGCUUAGUCGAGUUCCAUAGAGAGUGUGUUUCUACAUUAGCCGAGUUCCAUAGAGAGCGUGUAUUUAGAAGCUUCUAUACCACAUGUGUUCGAUAGAUGAGAAAUGCAUUCAUGCCCUUAGAGAUAUAUGUCAGGACAGAACAAGCAAUCAGAUCAGAAGCGGUGCGCGUAGAGGAGUUGAUAGUUUCCAUUUGAAACCACCCCUCUCUCCACCUUGAAUUGAAUCUUUCUUAUCGAACGCAUAAGUUAGUCAUAAAGCAGAAGAUUGCAGUGCUGUCAAAGAUCAACGCAUAGAAGCUCCUUACGCUCAAUCACCUUGAGAAUGGAAAUUCUUGGACUCUAUUGAACUACAUCGGUAACGACUUGAGCCACAUAAGGAUUUGUUUGCAGUAAACCCUGAUUGAGAGUACUACUCGGGUCUGUAAACCCAUCUAUCUUUUCGAAUGGAAUGAGAAACUGCAGAAGCUGGAAAAGAAGCUGGGGGUAAUAAACAAGAUCUGAAAGUUAGAGAAGGAUCUUAAGCGGGAAGUUCAGUUUAGUUCAGGGAAGAAUAAGAAUAUAGUGAAGUUGAGAGAAAAGAGCAUAUAAAGAGACUUAACUAAGCUAGAGGAUACAGCGCUUUAGAAGGAAUCGAGGCAAGCAAACUCAGAAGCACUCUUUCUUUGUUUUUGAUUAAUAUAUGAUAGCUGUUGAUGGCGUACUCCAGAGCUUCCAUGUAGUCAGACUCACUCGCUCCCAAGGAAACUAUACUCAAACUAGAGGAUACAGCGCUUCAUAAGGAAAGGACGGAAAGAUAAUAGUAACAGAACAAGAUGUCGGGCUAAUGUUAGCUUAGGAGUAAAGGAGUCACGAUUGAGGUUACUACUUAAUCAUAUGCUACUUCUUUCUGGAAUUCCUGUUAUACUGGUCCAACAGUUAUUGCUUUACAAGUCUCUCGUAGAGUAUUUAGUCCUGGAUCAGGUAUGGAAGCAGUUUUCAUCACUAGGUUCCGUUUCCCGAGCAGGAGAAGAAUACAUCUUAUUUACCUAAACUCUGAUAAUGAAGAGUUAAAUGACAUCCACUUUACCUAUACUAUGAUAUAUAGUAAUAGAAUUGUCCUAUACUUAUUAAUAGACUUACCUAAACUCCGAUAAUGAAGAGUUAACUGCUUGUUGCUGACUUGCCCGCGCUGGUAAGACAAAGAAUACUACUAAUACAUAUAAUACUGAGUAGAUGUAAGUAGACAAGGGAAGCUGUGUCCUGAUCUAACUCUGGCAAAAAGACUUCUUUCAACAAGCAGCAGGCAACUAUUUACUGUUUUCGGUAUACCUGAAAAGUGUCUUUCUCUCUUUGUCUUUUACAUAGUGACUUGGCCUAGCAACGUUGCUUGUCGACUUGGCGCCUAGUGUCUUGUCAGCUUGCCGGGCUUUCUUUUUCCCCUUUCUUUAUUCGUUGCUCGAUCUUGUACUGAGAUAGACGGAAGACCACGCAGAGCGAAUGGCAGAAAAAGGGUUAGUCAUACUUAAAGAUUCACUUUGUUUGCUCUCCUCACUCGUAACUAGAGGCUAUAGUUCUAUAACAAGAUAGCUGACACGAAGCAGGCAGCCUAUAAGUAAAAGUCGACGACUCAAGUCCAUUGAGGACGGGUCCUGAGUGUGGAUUUGUUAUUCGAAUAUAGGAAGAAAAGAAGUGGAAAGAAAGUAAGAGCCCUCAGGGUAGCUUAUCCAAAGGAGAAAAGUGUCUUUCUCUACUAUAUUUUCUGUAGCUUCAUUCUGUAUUUCCAUAAGACUAGAGAUGAGAGAUGUUCUUCCCCGGCAAGAGGUGCCCGCCUUGCUUAUAAGAGAUCUACCCCGCUGUUCCCUUAGUUAUAACCAAGAAAGAAGAAGGGGAUUUGCUCCCUAUUCUGCUAAGGCGGUGAAGGUUCAUUUACUUACCAAGGUACAAAGGUUGUUGGUAAUAUAGGUUUAUAUGAAUAGUAAUCAAAGCCAGAGGAUAAGCAGGUCCAAAUGGCGAUCGACUUCAGAAUGGAAGAAAAUGCUAGGGGGAUCCGAGCCCUAAGACUUACUAGCCUUCCUUUAGUGGGUGCGUCUAUAGGCAAUGAUGGCUUUUUAGAUAUAGAUAAGAUUUCUACUGUCCCCACUUCCAAAGAGGCUCUUAGCACCUUUCUUUCCUAUUCUUUAUCACCCUAGGAGUCUUGGGAUUUCCUAUCAUCGAGCACCUUUUCUUAUUCCUAAAGGACAUUGGGAUUUCCUAUCAUCGAGCACCACCUUUUCUUAUUCCUAAAAGAAAGGCCAAAGAGAGUCAACCGCUACAGGACUAGCAGGAAAUCAAUCAAUCAAUAAAAUCCAUCGAUUUCUUUCACCGAUGCUUCGAUCGCUUAGAGAUAGAUGGGAUCCCGCCCCUAACUCUUCUCUUUCCAGAGAUUGAACUCAAUCAAGUUCAUUGGUGAAUCACUAUGGUAAGGCUAUUGAAGACAAGACGGUUCUUAUUCGACAGAGGGACGAGUUGGAAUCCUCUUCCUGCCAUCGUAGAAGCCUGCAAGCAAGCAUCAAUUUCGCUUUCGAUCGCUUAGAGAGGUGGCGCUUUGUUAAGAACAACUAUGGCGAAUGCUUUCUCAUCACUAGGAAGAUCGGUCGAUUCCUUCAAUCAAUGGGUUUUGGAUUUGAGCUUUUGUCGUCUCACUCUAGACUAAGACUAUUUUCAUAUAUCAUAUAUGGAAUUUUUUGCUUUCAUAUAUGAUGGAAUUUCUGGCUUUUGAUUUCUAAAGAAAGCGGCAUGCAUAGACCAAGAUCUACUUCUCCCCCGCUACCCACCUCUUCCUCUAUCGAGUAAUAUAUCAAUUCCUUACUCUAAAGAACAGUUAUUAUAUGCUUCACUUCUCACUCUAAGGAAUAAUGCGUAAACAACAAAGUGUUUAUUGUAAGUCAGAAAGAACCUCUCUCCAUCUGUCUAGCCUACAACGGAGACCCUUUUCUGGUGGGCUCUACUUAAACUAAUACAUGCGGGGAUGCCGAUAGCUUUGUCUAUCUCCAGGCAUUAAACGACUCUUUUGGCCCGUUUGGUUUGUGCCGAUUAGCUCACUUACGCUCCUUGUACUGCUGUAGAAAGCAACGGAUGUAUCGUACAAUAGGUGAAGGGUAAAGCUCCAUCAAUUCAACAAGCUAUGGUGCAAUAAUCUAAUAGGACUUGAAAAGCCGGAAGCAGUGAGCUUUCGAGGACAAGUGCUGUGUUCAUUCGUGUUCAUGGCGUCAGUAGAAAUAACGGAAUAGCAGCUCGGCGCUAAAGUCAUAAGUGAGUUUCUGGAACAAGCUACAAUACUAAGUGCUUACGGGUGCGAGUGUUGCAGUAAUGUGUUUUGUUAGAGAAAGGCUUAGAGUGAAGAGUUCAGUUACCGAUACGUAAGAUGUCAACAGUUAGGGAAAGGCUUAGAAUAAGAUGUUUUGUUCCCGCUAUGUAAGAUGUCAGCUGUUAGGUAAGCUUCCUAAUGGAUUCUAUUGGUUUACAUGCCUAUCAAAUAUUAUGUCACUUUCCGGGGUAGGUGCUUCUGUCCUUUAAGAAGCUGUGUUUUGUUACUCAAUCAUAGAAUUCAUGUGUGCACCACUAUAGUACUCAAUUAUAGAAUGAAUGUGUGCAAAAACCACUAUAGUCUUUUAGCAAUGCUGUGUGUUUUGAGGUUCUAUUUGACUAUUAUUAUAUCAGUUGCAAGAGAUAUUUUAAGCAGACAAUUAGUUAGAUAAGAGAGAUAGAUUCUUUACUGGAAUAAUUAGUUAUAGAGGGAUUCUUUACUGAAUUCUAUAAUAUGUGGUAUAGAGGGAUUCUUUACAAUUCUUAUAUCAUGUGCAAGAAAGAGAGAUUACAUAAUAAUAGAAUGGUGAGUUCAAAGAGCCAGAAGAUAGAUAUAGUAGCCAUAGGUCUAGCAGGUAUAUAAGUGGCACUCGCUUAAGGAGCUUCGAAGGCUUAACCGAGCCAAUAAGUCAUUUCAGAAUGAAACCACUACAGGGCUUGCUUGUUGAAAGAAGUCUUUUUAGCCUGAGUGAGAUGAGAUGAGAGCAAUAACUGUAUUUGUAGCCUCAAGAUUAGGGUUCCCUGCCUACCUUUCUUCUUGUCUAGUGGUUGCUAGCCGGGUCUCAAGUAUAAACCUUAAUGCAGUGGUCCGUCCUGUUCAUAGGUUUGUAUAGAACUAAGAGAAGAGUGUUUGUUGUCGACCUCGAAUGCCCAGUUUGAACAAGUUAUUACCGAGUGCUUAUGAAUAGCGGCAGGGAGCUUAGGGACAAGCAGUUGACAAAACCCAAGGCUUGGAAUGCUGUGUUUAAGGCUUGGACUGCGAUGGUUCACUCUGUUUGUUAGUAGCUAUAGCCCGGUUGUUAGGUGUUUGGUUCUUAGAUGCAGUGGUUAGAGACCUUAGACUUAGGUUAGCCAUCCCAUACCAGUAACCACCUAGAUCAGCCUGUGACUCCUUAGUUUAAGCCUGAGUAUCUAACAGCAUCAGUAGCACGGGUUUAAGCCUGAGAUGCAGUGGUUGCAUUCCGAUUGUUACUGCUUUAAGUCUGCCCAGCACUGGUUGAAGCCUUGGAAAGCACUGGCUCAAUUCCCAGACUACCUAGCAUCGGCCUGUAACUACUUAGCUGCAUUCUUAGUUGACUUAGCUCCAUUCUCAUACUGCCUGGUUGAAGCACCGGUUGAAGCCCGAGAAGCACCGAUUGAAGCCACCAAGCAACUACUAUUGUUGCGCGGUAGCGAGCCCCCAGUGGAAAGGUCUAGUUUGUUCGUUACUGUUCUAUAGUGGUAUCGCCCAUUCUAUAGUAGAAUUCCUAAUUUCAAGUUUCAUCCCUCUGAUGCACCCGCGCAUCCCCAGACUACUUAGUCCCAUUCUUAGACUCAGUAAAGCCCUUUUCUCAGUACCUCCCCUCUAUCUAAUAGGCAAAGCAAUUCUCUGAUUCCACAUUUUCAUUAUGAAGUGGGCACUAUGGCGAGUCCCAUUAGAUCCUUUGGUUUGAAAGAGCAAGUUGAUUUCUUACUGGCUAAAUCCUGGAGUCGGGGCCCCUAUACUAUCUUUCCUCGCUAUUUCUUAUAAAGUACUCCUGCGAUUCCUAUAGAGCACGACACCCACUCGAUAUCCUUUCUUUCCAAAAAACACCACUAUCUGUUGAUGGAGCCCUGCAAUGCAAGCUUCCAACAUUUCGAACCGUAUUAUCUUUCAAUGAUAGCUACUGAAGUCACUAGAGUCGAAGCAGUGCUUUUGUAACCAAAAGGGUCAAGUUGGAUUUCUACUUUGGUUGCUUCCUGCAGUACUUGGUUUCUGCUCUCUCCAUGGUGGUAAGCUCGCCUUGAUCCAUUUCUUCCACUUCUCAGUUCUUCCUUCUUUGGUAUAGACCCUAUCUUUUCUCCCGGCUCUGCCUUUUCGGGUUCUUUUUCUCGUUUCAAAAUGCUGUGUUACCCCGUAGUUGCUUUUUGGCUACGAAACACCACUAUGACAAGCAACCGCUCCGUGGGCUCAAUCAAAGGGGGAAGAAGUUAGCCUUUACUUCUAUUCCCUAUGUCUUCGCAUCUGAUGCCGCUGCCUCCCCAAUGCCUUAUAAAAGUAAGCGGGCUAUAGAUUGGGAUCCGACCCUCAAUCGAUUUCUAUCCCUUCGGUCAACCCUCUAAGCUUUCGUAUACCUGGCAUCCAACCGUCUAACGGGAGGUUCUAGCCACCCAGUUCUCUUCCAUCUUCUUUCGACUGAUUCUUUCAUUGGUUUUUUCAAGGAGUGGGUUAACGGGCAAGUAAUAGAAUGACUAGGUUGUUCCGUCUCUGUGGGUCGUCCCUCUGCCUUGCUUUCUAGCUCACGUAAGCAAUCUUUUGAGCUUUUUCCAGUUCCUUUGAAAGCCAUAUGUUCCUUUGAAAGCCAUAUAGUGGAGUCAUGGCAAUAGUCAAGAUAAAGUAUGGGACGCUUCUUGUGCUUAGUGGAAAAAACAAACGAAAAGCUAAUCCAAACCCUUACCGGCCCACACUUUUGCUUUCUAUAUUACCUCUCUCCGAGGGUUAGUUGUUAGUUCCUCGAUCCCGAGAUCGAUCAACCACGUACUCUCUAUUGAUAGUAGUAUUGCUUUGAUAUAUCCUCAAAAUCAAGGUGCUGAAAGUCUAUUGAUACCUUUACUGGGAACUCCGCCUUUACUACUACACCGCUUACUCGUAGCUGGGGACCCAACUCACCAAUCAAAGAAUAGAUAUCGGAUCGGAGGGAAUGAAACCAACCACUAUUUAUUAGGCUUUGACUCCCGCUUCCAUGUCUCUACUACCUUAGCUGCGUCCUUGCUUCUAUUCUCUAUUCUUACUUAUUAUUAUCUAUUUUCGAUUAUUAUUAUUAGAACUUAUGCAGUCAAUCAAUACACCGAUGAACAAGUAUAAUGAGCAAUCAAUACACCAAUGAGUAGGUACGGCUUAGACGAUGAACCAGAAGACGAGGGUAGUCUCAUUGUUAGUCAGAAUAAUUGUAGUAGUAAUGAGAAUGGAACCUGGGCAUACAAGGAUUACAGGGAUGCGCAUGGAAUGGAAGACUUCCUAGCAGGCCGAAGAGCUUAGAAAUCAAUAAUAGAGAAUGCCGAUCUGCACUACAAGACCUACAAGACCGACCACAACAACAAUAAUGGAAUCACUGCUAACAAGACUGUAUAUUAAUAGGGCCAACAAAAGACAGACGGAACCCACUGCAAAAGCCUUCCUUUCCGACAAGCUACUCUGUCUUUCCUAGGAACAACACUCCGCGUAACCAAUUCGAACUCGCUACCGCGUAACACAAAGAAAGAAGUCGUAACUAAACUAGUACAGCUAAGGCAACAACCACUGCUUCUAGGCUUGAUUAACUAGUGCUUCCAAUGCUCAAACUAAUAACUGAGGCUUUCACUGCCGAUCCUUACUCUAUUAUAGAAGAAGAUGUGUGACUUAGGCGCUGAAGAAGACUAGAAAGGGUGAGCAAUCGGGACUGCUUCAUAAAUAAGCACAAAAAUAUAGACCUGAGAGUCAGGGUGAACGGGAAAGCAAAAGACAGAAAGGAACCUUUGAGUUUUCAAGCACUCCGUGAAGACGCAAGUAGCCUUAUGCCAGUCGGUUCCAGUACCCUUGACAAGAAAGUAGACCUGGAAAGUAUACGAGCGGUUCAACAAGCCCAGAUAAAGCAGAAGAAAAGAAGGAUUAGAAGCAGUGCACAAGUCAGCUGCUGAAACAAGAGCAUAAGCUUGUUCUGUCGUUAUUAUUUGUUACUACUGUAUUAACGAUAUAUAUGACUAUAGCUUGUGUCUGUCCUUCAUACGAGUCUGUCCUUGAGUCUCUUUCAGUUCUGGUUUUUGUCUGUCCUGAAGUAGAGUAUCCUUCUGUUCAAGGUAAAGUAUAAAGUAGAUAGAGUUGAUAGAAGCAAGUGGAAUCUCGUAUAGAGGGCAGGUACUCUGGUCAUUAAAGAAUCAAAGGUGGUAUAAGCAGUGUUGUAUCUCGGUUAAGGUGUAAGUCUCUUGUUGUAGUCUAAGGUGAUAGGGAGUUUGCUUUCCAGCCUCAAAUUCCAGUAUUAGUUUACUCGGCGUAAGACUCAUGAGCAGGAUUCUAAAGUAAAGUGUGAGUUGCAUCUAUAAGAUCCUCUCCGUCGGUUAAGUCAGCAGUAAGUGAUUCCGCAAGUGGAGUUGACCUGCAUUUAUAUAAGAUGGAUAGGUUAUUUGAAUGAUUUGUUUUCCUCGGAGUAAGGCGUGGUGCGCUAAAGGAGAUGAAAUUCCAUGUUGCAGUUAAGUGCGAAAGUAAGUCAACAGAAGACACAAGGAAAAUCGAGUCUCUCUCUUUGGGUGCUCGCUUGCUUUACCCUCUUUGGCUGCAAGUCUAGGUUCGGCUCUUGGCUUGUGCCGAAUAGAGACAAAUACCAUAAUGGAGGUGUGGGAUAGUAAGGCUUAGAUCAAGUAGUGGGGCAGGCCAAUAGACAUUAGUGGAAUACUCGGCAUUAGUGGAAUACUCGGCAUUAGUGGAAUACUCUACAUUAGUGGAAUACUCUAAUGCAGGAGAGGUGGGCAGGCUAAUAGUAAAGGUAGUCUUCAUCGUAUUCCGUAGAUCAAAGAUCCGGAUCCCUUGGUUAUAGCCUCCAGUGCUGUAGCGAAAGCCUUGUUUUCAGUAGUACCUUUCUCAUUAGUUGGAAUUGCAUUCUCAUAUUCCCCCGUUCUAUUCUUUCCAGUAGUUGGUUCAGCCCAAGAAGUAGGCGUUGGAUCCCCAGUUCGAGUGUCCGUUUUCAACGGUGGAGUAGUAGCUUGAUGGCUCAUAGGCACAUGGAGUAAAGGAAGCCUUGGGUUCAUUGGUUUCAUAACUAGAUAAGUGUUAGUAAAGGACUUCUUCAAUAGUCCCCGGGGAAGGAGGAGGCUAAAAUACUUUCAAGCAAGCCUUAGAUUAAGUAGUAGCAGACCUAUAGUUAAGAGCGGAAGAGCUAAAGAAAGGAUAGGUGGGGCACUAGACAUAACUAGCCUUCAAGGGCGGGAGGUUCGAACUCAAAAGUAUGGUUCUAGACCUGUAGCUAAAGAACAAGAGCGAGGGGUUUGAGUUUAAAAGCAAGUAAAGCAAAACGAAAGGCAAAGAAAGGCAGCCUUAUUGUAAGUAAAGCAAGGUUUGGUGUCAGUAAGGGGAAGGGACAAGUACCAAUACGAUAAUCAGAGUCAGUAUAGUAAGGCCGGGUAACAAGAGCGUAAGAGUUCAAGCAAGGGCAGUCAACUCCUAGGUUCGUAGUUCAAGUGCUAUAGUCAGUGUUCGAUCUGAUAGUCAGUAGUGAAAGCAUGGAUCGGUUGAACUCGCUACCGCGCUACGCGAACACAACAGAAGUGCAGAAUUCUUUGGAGUCAAAGGAGUAGAGGUAUGGAUUUGAGAAUGAAAGGCAAGGUGUGGGCUCGGGCUAUUGAGUUUAAUACGCUCCCACGUUACUUAUUCUUAUUUACUAUCAAACCACGUUACUUAUUCUUAUUUACUACUCUAUCAAACAAAUACAUUAUGGAGUUUAUUGCGUGCAUUUGUGCUCGAGUUACUUGCCGGAAUGUCACUAUUGAUAACAAAGAAUCGAGUUACUUACUAUCCGAAUUGAACUAGUACAAACAUAAGAUCUUUCCUCUUCUCUAGCCUCUGAUCUUGUAUUGCAACACCCGUUAGUGCUUACUUGCCAUCUGCCCCGAACCCUGCACAUGUUCUUAACCAACCGACCCUGUGCUACCAUGAUACUUAACUGCUUCCUUUGCCGACCUGACCUCUCUACUAGAGUUACCCGACCCGACCUCUAUACCACUACUCAUAAGAAUAAGGCAUCUACUAAUAAGGGAUAUACUAAUCAGAUACUAAACUAAGAAUAAGGGAUCUACUAACUGGUCUUCCACUCUAACCAUUAACAUAAGGGCUGGCCAUUCUUCUGAUCUCUAAGACCUAACAGGCACUGCUCCUACUGCUUGUCUUGCUCCGCCAAGAAACUACCUUCCGUUUCCGACUCCCUAGUGAUUCACUCCCUUCCCGAUACAAAUAAAUAAGUAAUGGAAUCCAUCCACUUAAAUAAAUGCAGGUCAACAACACCCUUACGUGCUUCCUUGCCAUCUUCAACUUACUAGAAGGGCCUAUAGUGUUAACCCCGACUCAAUCUCUUCUAAGUGUGAACUGAACCCCUACCCGAACCCAACUUAAAGUGAAGAAAGAAAUCAUGGAAUUGCAGAUUAACCGCCAACACCUGGAUACUUAACUCGAACAGAAACUAGAAACAUAUUUAUAUAAGGGCAAAAGCAUUUACUUCUCUAUUGACUACUUUCAGAAUGAAAUUGAAGCUUUUGAGCAGUGAGGAUACCUCCCCUACUUCCUGAACUGCACUACUUGGCCUACCUUUCCUCUUUCAUUGCUAGCCUCUCUGUUUUAUUACUUACAUCCUCCUCCCUUAGCUUCCAGUCCUGUGUAUUCGAGCGUCAGUCAAGGAAUUCAUAUGCUCCGGGCCCAGCAACAACUAUUUCAUAAUGGAAUUAGUUUACUAAUGAGUGAAAGGCUUUACCGAUAGAACUGGCACCACUACUAUAAGGGGCAAGAACUAGACUUUCCACUUGACCUCGAACAGGAGAAGUGCUACCUGGCCUCUACUUCUGACUGAACUGCUUACCACAACUCUCUCCUUCUUACUGAACUGCUUCCCUUGCAGACCUCGCUGUCAACAAAUAACUUCAUGAGGCUCAUCUAACCCUUGCAACUAUACCGUAGUCCACUACUAUUGUAUAACUCAGGCUCAUCUACCUAUGGCUACACUACUUUCAGGGGCAAGUCACAGUAGAAUUAGAAUAUGGAGCUGUAACUCUACUUCCAACAGCGGAGACUCAACUCUUACAGCAGCUGCCUCUAGUAUUGGUCUAGUUACUUCAGGCAAUCGGUGGGCUUGUCUCAUUCUGAUCUACUACCCUAGUUAGUUGAAUUCUGAUCUUAGUCUUACACUCAAUCCGUUUUCUGGUCAUAUGAGUGGAAUUCAUAUCGCCGUACUACUGAAACUACCUUCUUAGAAUUCAUACCAAUACUGGAUGCUUACUGGUUGAAUUCUUUGACUAUACCUCUGCUCUGGCUCUCAUCGAAUCUCACUCAAUAAACUGCCGCGUAACAUUAGUAGUUACUUGGCCGGUACUCAACUCUCCCCUUCCCGCUUCGUCACCAACAAAUACAGAUGCAACAGGACAGGACCACUACUUAAAGGGGAUUCCACUUCACCAAAACACGGGUUUUUUCGUAGCACUGGCAUUUCCCCUGCUAACGAGGUCCAAAGUCAUUCCUUUUUUGCGUUUUACCGUGCAACAACACUGCCGCGUAACGCGUUUUUAAGCUCGCUACCGUUUAGCUCAACUCCUACCGCGCCUAAGUCGGCUUGGUCAUUAGUAGUUGCUUGGUGGACUUGUUUAGAAUUUCUUAUAACUACCUAUUGGUUGCUGCCGCGCAGCGGCUUGCGCCGUUGCUUGGCCUUGCCUCAUAGCACUGGCAUUUUCCUUCCUGAGUGACCAGAUUGAGAUUCUCUUUUCACGUUUUACCGUGUUUUUUCGUUGUAAAUGGAUUUCCCUUCCUGGACCAAUCCAAAGUCAUUCCCGGACACAGGACUUCCUCAUAACUCCCUAACGUCCGUUAUUCGUUGCUGCCGCGCAACGUUAGUAGUUGCUUGGCCGUUUUCCCGUGUUUUUUGGUAGCACUGACAAUUUCCCUCCUGAGUGACCUUAUGGAAAUCACAAUUUGACGUUUUCCCAGGACUAGUUUAUUGCAAGCUAACCUUAGCAACGUGGCCAAGUAACUGGGGCCAAGUCGACAAGCAAGGGAACACUAAAACCAUAGAGCUAGAGCAGAGGCACAAGCUUUCUAUCAUACCUAGAGCGGCGAGCAGGGGAAUUUUCAACAAGCAGCUGACAAUCCAACCUCUGAUUCUCGCCCUCUUGCGGAUAUUGUAGUUUAGGCAGGAACACCAGAUUGAGAGGUUCAGGCUUGUAAGUAUUCAAGAACACCAGUAGUUUUACUUGACUCUUCAACUUACUAUAGGGGCCUCGCCAGUACUUUACUCUGCCCCGCCCCUCGUAUUGGAAUGAAGAGUUGCGGUAAACCCUUUACUACUCCCAAACACAGGACUUGGGUAAGAAACAUCAGAAUUAGUGGUAGUGGUCUUGAUGACACGGCACAAACAAUAAACAAGUCGUGAGUUAGCCAUUGCAGCUUGUCCCGCCGAGUGGAAUUCCGUAUUAGUUGACAGAGCUCCUGCCUUUCUGAAUUGAGUGUAAGGAUUUCCGUUCUAAAGUACGAGUAGCUUGCCCUCGAAAGAUUCUUGUCCUAGGUAAGAAAUAGAGAGAAAAGAACCUGUCUCAUAGUAGAGUGACGAGUUGAAGUACACUUUCCUUGCACUCAAAGAUAGGAGUCAAUCCUUUGACUAUGCUAACUGAAUUCGGUUAAUAGUUUUAAGCAGCAGUGCCUGUAUUUCAUGAAACUCUAAACUCCUAACUCAGGUACUCACUCCCGAACACAGGAUCAGUAGUAGAUUCCAAUUAAGGAGUUGUUGUUCCAAUUAAGGAGUUGUUGACCUUAUAUGAAGUUUCCGUUCGAGAAUCAGAGGAAUAAGAUAAGUAUUCUAAUUUCACUACUAAGUAACAUAGACAAGAGAAGCUGUGUACUUAAUAAUAGGGCAGAAGGAAAGGCCAGGUCAGUUAGUACCAGUAGAUUCCAAGGAACAAGCCUUAUAGUAGGAGUCGUCCAGUGCCCAUAAUUCAUGGUGACGCGGCAGUCCGGGUAGUAGAAAACCAUAAGUCAGAAAACAAGUAGUAUAACCCAUGGGUCUAAGCAGACAACUUCGCUAAAGGAGUAGUAACACCUCUGCACUAUGAGUGAAAUUCUGUAAUUCCAACUUGUGAGAUCAAUUCCUUUAACUACUGUUCCACUCAGCUCAGGUUCUUGCUUGGUGGACUCGCUUCUAACUAAUACAAACACCGGCUAGUACUAUACAGUUGACAACAUUCCUUCCAAAGAACACAGGACAGGACUCCUAAAGGUAAGAAAGCAAGCUACUACUUGAUCAUCGGAUCAUUAAUACCUUAGUUUAGGUAGGCACGGGAACCCUCUUUUCCUUGGCCUCACUCCUACUGUUGCUCAAAAGAACUCCACUUUCAUAACUCCCCUACAAGGCACCAGUGGAUUUGAUCUGAAGUCAACUAAGAAAGAAUGCAUUUUCUCUUACGUGCCCUAGUAUGCAAGGAAAGAAAGAGAACUAGUUUACCGGGGCUAUGGAACCAGUGAAGUUGCCAGUUGCCCUAUGACUUGAAAUCAGCAUCUUCUUCUAGUAUUCCUAUUCUUCCCUAUUCUAGUAUUCCUAGUCUUAGUAAUUAGCCUAUUCUAAGUAUUCUUCUUCCCUAUUCUUAGUAUAAUUAGCCUAUUCUAAGUAUUCUUCCCUAUGCCCAGAGCCUAGCUCCUCUCUUGUACUAUAGCCUAGCUCCUCCAUUCGAUAUUGACUACUUGCUUAACACAAGCACUGAAUCCCAUUCUAUUCUUAAGCCCAGUCCACACUAUUCUUUAGUUCACUACCGAUAAGUCAACUCUUCUCUUUACUAACAAACAAUACUCCGGCUCAUCUAACUCAAUUGGUUUUCUCAUCUAACUCCCUUUUCUAUGGAAGUAUUGCUACUACCCUAAGCCUCACCCUCCUUGUUGGAAGAGAACCAUUCCUCAGUGUCCCAUGUCUCCUUACACGUGUAAGUGACUGUGACAUUAUUUGAUACAAGGAAGGAAUCAAUGUAUACUUGUAGGGGCCAUGCCGCAUAAUAUGCCAAAACGCCCGGUUCGUUGAACUCAGCCCCCUCUCGUAGCUCUUCAGCAACUUUCACCCACGCUUCUGGGUUCUCCUUUGGCUGCUCCGUCAGCAUUCCUAUACAAAAAGGUCUCCACAGCUUCUGGUAAGUAUUCAUUAGCUUCCAUUGGAUCUCCCCCUCGUUUUUGAUCUCCUCUCUAAACUGCUGUGUGCUUAUUAUGGGCACAUAUGCGAAUUCUAAGAGUGAGAACUCGCCCCCAUGCGCAGCAAUGUUAGCCUAGCCGCCUCUGCUUCGUUUUUGCAGUACAUUUGUUCCGCAUUUCCCUUUGCAUUAAAGCGCAUGUACUCAUGUAUAGCGAUUGGACUCCUUAUCUCUUCGCCAGUCAUUACUACUUUCAAGCUUUGUUUACUUUGAGUGGUGAGUAAUGCCUUGUCUCCUUUCUCUAAUGGUCUCUCAACAGCUCCUAAGACUAGCUCCUGUGCCCUAGCCUUCGCUACCAUUAUCUGAUCCACUUCUCUUACCCUUAUGCGUAUGGUUGCCGGCUCCUCUGUUCUCGCUUGCAUCAGCUCUGGAUACGAAUACUUAUUCAACUACUCUACAACUAGUAUUUCUUCUGGGCGCGGCUGUCCCUUCCCCUUCCCCUGAUUCUUCUGUCAACUAAUACAGAUGAAAAUGGACUACUACUACUGAUUCUACUACUUGUAAACUGAAGACGAAACUUGGUAUUCCACUCACACAAGUACAGGAACCAGAACAGGAACAGGAGCAGACCCACUUACUACAGGCUCGGCUCAUCUCAGAAACUAUGGCUCUCAUCGAAUCUCACUCAGGCUCCUACCAACACAAGUAAACCUUUCCUAGGCAAUUCUUAUGAAGACCCAGACCAGGCCAAGCUACUUAAAGUUUCGUUCUUCUGAGCACUUUCCACUUAUGCUCUGUGAACUCAGGCUUCUUUCUAUACCUAUGGCUCUGUAAACAAAUACUUCUCUUCUUGAAACAAGCUUAGCUUUCUCUCCUCUUGCUACUAUCUGAUAGAAUCACUUUUGAACUCACUUCCAUUCCACUGUUGCUACUAUACUAUCUGAUUGCCCCAUAAACUCCCUGUCCCUGCCGCUUGAACAAAGGAAUUGAGGAAGGACUUGCCCAGUAGUUUGGCCAUUAGAAGUUACUUGUCUAGUAGUGUCUUGGUGGUUAACUCAGGAAUAGAUUGGGUGGUUACCAUACUUCAAUGGAUUUCUCCUUAUAUAUCUAUUAUUAUUUAUUUAUAAAGAAAGAAAGUAUUUAUAAAGAAAGAAAGAAAGUCACUCGGGAUGAAUAAAGAAAGAAAGAAAGUAACUCGGGAUGAACACUCUGGACCACUACGCCGGAAAGCAAGUAAACCGGUCAAAGCCUCUCUCUCCUCUGUAAACUAACAACUCCAGUUCUUGUUUCUGUCUAAACUAACCACUAAUUCCCUUGUUUCUGCCACUCCAGUUCUUGUUUCUGUCUAAACUAACCACUAAUUCCUAUGUCUUCUAUAACACCCCGCCCCUCUGCCUGGCUAGGCUAAUUCUUCUGUUUCUUAAGAUCUAGUAUCUGUUUCUUCCGAUCUUCUGUUUCUUCCGAUCUAGUAUCUGUUUCUUCCGAUCUUCUGUUUCUUCCGAUCUAGUAUCUGUUUCUUCCCCAAGUCCUGUGUGAGCCAGUAAGUAGAAGGCUUUGCAGCUAGGUCAGAGAUAUUAGUUGGCUUAGAAGCGAUAGCAACUCUUAAUUCCACUCAGCGGUAGGAAAGUCAGAAUUAACCUCGAGUCCACCGAUUGCCUGCACUGAGUUACUGGGCUAGGUCAGUUAGUAGCUAGUAAGCCCACUACGAGGAUAGAGGGAGUCCACCGAUUGCCCGAGCCAUAGAUAGAACUCACCAAUUAGAGACUUAACGAGCACUUCCACUAUCACUCCUACUGUUGCUUCAUAUCUAUCUUCUUAUUCUUCUGGAACUGGCUAUGAUACUGCUUGCCCUGCCCUGAACCAACCAUCCAAAUAUGGGUGUCAAAUGCACUCUAACAGAACUUCUGGGGUUUGAUGGUCAAUCCCUUUGUGCCUUAGGUUUCUGAUCAGUAGGGCUACAGGAAUUGUGGGUGCCCAGAUUCCAAAAGUGGAAGAGAUGCCAAAUGCAUAGUCCGCUUCCUUGAGAGAGAUUCCAGGGCCAAGCAACGACUAGUAGAAUGAGUGGAAUACCGACCCGGCCAAGUAACUACCAAUGUGUAGCGGCAGCCGCCAAGCCACUAUCAAUCUGGUGUAACAAGAGAAGCAAGGGCGGAAGAAACUACUAAUGAACUCCCUUCCCGCUUCAGAACAAGUAGACUACUUUCCCCGACCUCAAAUCUGACUUCCUAGCACCUAGCUUUGGCGACUUCGCUCCUGCUUCUCAGCCUUACUAUACCUUGGCUUUCAUUCCCGCUUGUUUACUUUGUCUCCGGGUGGCUUUAGAGUGUCCUCUCCCCCCUUUGGUUACCAAAUUCUAUAUAUAUGUGUCUCAGGUAACAUGGUAGGUAGAGAAAGACACAGCUUAGCAUUCCUUUGAACCUGUGGGUGGUAGCAAAUUCUCUUUCUUCUGCUCCAUCUGUUACUUUAAUAAGAAUAUAAUCCUCCUGGGAUAUAAUAUCACUAAAUAAAAACACAUAUCCAGUUCUUUCUUCAUAUCCUUGAAUUGCAUUAGAUCUAUCUUCUGGUUGUCGAUGUAGACUUUCCAGCCUAUUCUUGAGACUUAACUGCCUCCAAUUUAAGCUUACUUUUUCACAGCUUAUUCGGGAGCUAACACAGCUGAUGAUCUUGCCAAUCCAGUUCAAUAUGAUUUUGUUGAAACUUAUGAUGAUCUUUCAAACUCACAAACAGACAAAGUCAGAAUAGAAUGGAAGAGCGCCCCCCCGUGUUAAGAACAAGAGGUUGGUAUAUAAGUUAGUGAGAGGACACUAUUUCUCCAGUAAAGUAAAGAAUAUAAUGGAAGUCAAGAGCACGCCGGUUUGUUAGUAACCUUCUUCUAUAAUACCUAUGGGGGUAACUCGACUGGAUGCAGUUUAUGCGGAUGCUGCGCCUCUUAUCCUUGCUUCGCUGCACCUAAAUCUGACUUGUUAGGGGACUGAUCUUCCCUUACAUAUAGUAUAGUAGGAGUGAAGAAGCAAAGCAAAGGUGAGGUCGGCACGGCACCAUGUAUUGAUGUGAAAGCCCUCCACUCUAAAGAUGUAUACGAGUUUGUUUAGGUGCCAAAGAAUUCCACUCAAAAGCCUUUGAAGCGAGGUGUACUAAUGAAGGUGUAGUUCACAGAGGCAAUUGACAAGCGGCAGUCCGGACUCGACACUGAUUGAAUUGCAUGGCCUUGCCUUCUUAAGAUACAAAUUAGCAUUCCAGGGCUUAUAUAUACGUAAACCUAACACAGCAUUCCCUUUUUCGACCUCGCGGCGGUAACGAAACAUAUU
rnacentral:lncRNA from 1 species